UGCUAAUCAAAUCAACACUUCUCUAGCAAGUUUAGGUUUAGCAAAUUUGACAAACUUGAAAAGCUUGGAUCUAAGUGAUAAUCAAAUCAACACUUCUCUAGCAAGUUUAGGUUUACAAAAUCUAAAAAAUUUGGAAGAGUUGGAUAUGACAUUGAAUCGAAUGAGCGGUUCUCUUACUUCGCUAGGUUUAGUAAAUUUGACCAAUUUGAAAAGAUUGGAUUUAAGUUAUAAUCAAAUCGCAAAUGCUAGAGGUAUGAAAAAUCAAAAAAUUGCAAAAUUUUCUUUUAAUGUUAAAAUGAAUAAUAGCACCUUUAUAAUUGAAACUUUAUUCCAAGUACUGCUUGCAUGA